UACGUAGGGGGCGAGCGUUGUCCGGAUUUAUUGGGCGUAAAGAGCUCGUAGGCCGUUCGGUAAGUCAGAUGUGAAAACUCCAGGCUCAACUUGGAGAGGCCAUCUGAUACUGCCGUGACUUGAGUCCGGUAGGGGAGCACGGAAUUCCUGGUGUAGCGGUGAAAUGCGCAGAUAUCAGGAGGAACACCGGUGGCGAAGGCGGGUCUCUGGGCCGAUACUGACGCUGAGGAGCGAAAGCGUGGGGAGCGAACAGG
rnacentral:rRNA from 1 species